UCAUAAUCGUUUGUUUCCAAUCAUAAAACUGCAGGCGACUGGAUGUAGUUAUAAAGAGGCCACAGAGGCCCUGCAACGAACGGUGGCAAAAAGUAUUUUCACAGCAUAUAGCCUGGCAACAACUCACCGCUCGAGCAUAAAAGAAUAUUGGUCAAGCGCCCUAGCGGAUAGACGUAAAGCCUGGUGAACACAAAGACGCUAACAUCCUGCAGAAAAGUUCAACAUGGCUGACAACACCGUACGGUCGGAAGAUGUGUAAGGACAAAAAUGGGAUCGUUGCAUUACAGACACCGGUUUACUGUUAACUGUUGAGUUAUCGAUCCGGACAGAACUUAAGUGUGCACCACUGCAGUAUGAUGACAUUUAAGUUUUAUAGUCUUUCAUGCAAUAGUUACUGUCACACAGCUCCGGACAUUGAAAGUGGAAGGACGGAGAACCAUACAGAAACAAUAUCGGCGAAUGAUGAUGCAUAUUUGUUUAAAGUUUCGUGAAAUAGGUACUGUGAAACAGCUCCGGACGUACAACCUUCCUGAAUUUCAAUCUAUUAAGGGGCAAUAAAUUAAUUACGCGUGCACCGCAGUAUGAUUGAACACUUUCAUAUUAAGUUUAAUGAAAUUUAAUAAAUAAUUAUUGAUAAACACCUCCGGACAUCGCCAAAAUAAUAUUCCUUCACUGUCUUAGAGCGGUAAAAAGCCAUUAUAAUGGAGGUGCCAUUUUGUCUACUUACAAGAGUUGAUGCAUUCGGAUUAAAUGCGUAUUCUACAUGCAAUAAUAAAUGCAUGCAAAAAUAAAUAUCAUUCUUGCAACAAGCGUAAAUCUACU